rnacentral:rRNA from 1 species
UGGGGAAUAUUGGACAAUGGGCGCAAGCCUGAUCCAGCCAUGCCGCGUGUGUGAAGAAGGCCUUUUGGUUGUAAAGCACUUUAAGCGAGGAGGAGGCUACUUAGAUUAAUACUCUAGGAUAGUGGACGUUACUCGCAGAAUAAGCACCGGCUAACUCUGUGCCAGCAGCCGAGGUAAUACAGAGGGUGCGAGCGUUAAUCGGAUUUACUGGGCGUAAAGCGUGCGUAGGCGGCUUUUUAAGUCGGAUGUGAAAUCCCUGAGCUUAACUUAGGAAUUGCAUUCGAUACUGGGAAGCUAGAGUAUGGGAGAGGAUGGUAGAAUUCCAGGUGUAGCGGUGAAAUGCGUAGAGAUCUGGAGGAAUACCGAUGGCGAAGGCAGCCAUCUGGCCUAAUACUGACGCUGAGGUACGAAAGCAUGGGGAGCAAACAGG